GGAGGAACUUAAAUGUAAGUACACAAGACCAAGUGUGUGAAAAAAGGCUGGCGUGAAGGGGUGAAGUUGCCUGCCCAAGGUCACACAGCACAGGUAGGAGCAGAGGCCACAUCAUGAAAACCCAGGCCUCCCUGCUUCAAACAGACAUAUAGUGCUCUUGCUCUUAUCCCUUCCUGCUUUCUGUACUUGCCCAAGAGCUGACAAAUCUCUUCUGAAGGUUUGGAUCUAUAACAGAUUAAUUUUUCUGUUCCAUCUCCUGGAGUGUAUGCAGUCCUCAAGUAUUGGACACUGCAUCUUGAAUGAGCCUACUACCUCAUGCUAUGAUAGUCUCUGGGUUUCAAAUUGGCAGAAAGGGUACGUAAAAAGUGUGUCCCAUUUGAAGACAAAUAGAAUCAGAGUGGAAUACCCGAAGCCUUUGUGUGUUGGAAUUGUUUUCACUCCAGGAGUGAAACACUGAAGCACUAUUCACUACGGUCUAUAGAUGCCUUUGCUAAAAGUGUGUAGAAGUUCUGCGGAGUGGUGUAAUUUCCAUUUCCAUUCCAACAGAGGUCCAAGAGAAUUGGGGCUGCUCUGCCUGUUAGAUAACUUCAGAGCGGUACUGAAUCAGGGUAGCUUUCAUCACCCAAAACCUACCAGUAAAAAUGCUCAUGUAAGAAAAGACCUGGAGUGGGACUUUUAGGUUUAGUUCCCGGCAUUCUUGGUCAAGGCAGAUGGGGCCAAAG